rnacentral:rRNA from 1 species
GAUGAACGCUAGCUACAGGCUUAACACAUGCAAGUCGAGGGGCAGCAUGGUCUUAGCUUGCUAAGGCCGAUGGCGACCGGCGCACGGGUGAGUAACACGUAUCCAACCUGCCGUCUACUCUUGGACAGCCUUCUGAAAGGAAGAUUAAUACAAGAUGGCAUCAUGAGUCCACAUGUUCACAUGAUUAAAGGUAUUCCGGUAGACGAUGGGGAUGCGUUCCAUUAGAUAGUAGGCGGGGUAACGGCCCACCUAGUCUUCGAUGGAUAGGGGUUCUGAGAGGAAGGUCCCCCACAUUGGAACUGAGACACGGUCCAAACUCCUACGGGAGGCAGCAGUGAGGAAUAUUGGUCAAUGGGCGAGAGCCUGAACCAGCCAAGUAGCGUGAAGGAUGACUGCCCUAUGGGUUGUAAACUUCUUUUAUAAAGGAAUAAAGUCGGGUAUGGAUACCCGUUUGCAUGUACUUUAUGAAUAAGGAUCGGCUAACUCCGUGCCAGCAGCCGCGGUAAUACGGAGGAUCCGAGCGUUAUCCGGAUUUAUGUGGGUUUAAAGGGAGCGUAGAUGGAUGUUUAAGUCAGUUGUGAAAGUUUGCGGCUCAACCGUAAAAUUGCAGUUGAUACUGGAUAUCUUGAGUGCAGUUGAGGCAGGCGGAAUUCGUGGUGUAGCGGUGAAAUGCUUAGAUAUCACGAAGAACUCCGAUUGCGAAGGCAGCCUGCUAAGCUGCAACUGACAUUGAGGCUCGAAAGUGUGGGUAUCAAACAGGAUUAGAUACCCUGGUAGUCCACACGGUAAACGAUGAAUACUCGCUGUUUGCGAUAUACAGCAAGCGGCCAAGCGAAAGCGUUAAGUAUUCCACCUGGGGAGUACGCCGGCAACGGUGAAACUCAAAGGAAUUGACGGGGGCCCGCACAAGCGGAGGAACAUGUGGUUUAAUUCGAUGAUACGCGAGGAACCUUACCCGGGCUUAAAUUGCAGAUGAAUUACGGUGAAAGCCGUAAGCCGCAAGGCAUCUGUGAAGGUGCUGCAUGGUUGUCGUCAGCUCGUGCCGUGAGGUGUCGGCUUAAGUGCCAUAACGAGCGCAACCCUUGUUGUCAGUUACUAACAGGUUCCGCUGAGGACUCUGACAAGACUGCCAUCGUAAGAUGUGAGGAAGGUGGGGAUGACGUCAAAUCAGCACGGCCCUUACGUCCGGGGCUACACACGUGUUACAAUGGGGGGUACAGAGGGCCGCUACCACGCGAGUGGAUGCCAAUCCCAAAAACCUCUCUCAGUUCGGACUGGAGUCUGCAACCCGACUCCACGAAGCUGGAUUCGCUAGUAAUCGCGCAUCAGCCACGGCGCGGUGAAUACGUUCCCGGGCCU